CCAAUAGCGUAUAUUAAAGUUGUUGCAGUUAAAAAGCUCGUAGUUGAACUUCGGGAUUUGCUCAUUGGUCAGGCUUAACUGUCUGUACUGGUGUAACGAAUUCCUACCUUCUGAUGAAUCUUCAUGCCAUUCACUUGGUGCGGAGGGGAAUCAGGACUGUUACUUUGAAAAAAUUAGAGUGUUUAAAGCAGGCUAUUGCUCGAAUACAUUAGCAUGGAAUAAUAGAAUAGGACGGUUGGUUCUAUUUUGUUGGUUUCUAGGAUCACCGUAAUGAUUAAUAGGGAUAGUUGGGGGCAUUAGUAUUCAAUUGUCAGAGGUGAAAUUCUUGGAUUUAUUGAAGACUAACUACUGCGAAAGCAUUUGCCAAGGAUGUUUUCAUUAAUCAAGAACGAAAGUUAGGGGAUCGAAGACGAUCAGAUACCGUCGUAGUCUUAACCAUAAACUAUGCCGACUAGGGAUCGGACGAAGUUAAUUUUUAAAUGACUCGUUCGGCACCUUACG
rnacentral:rRNA from 1 species